rnacentral:rRNA from 1 species
GAUGAACGCUGGCGGCGUGCCUAAUACAUGCAAGUCGAGCGAACGGACGAGAAGCUUGCUUCUCUGAUGUUAGCGGCGGACGGGUGAGUAACACGUGGAUAACCUACCUAUAAGACUGGGAUAACUUCGGGAAACCGGAGCUAAUACCGGAUAAUAUUUUGAACCGCAUGGUUCAAAAGUGAAAGACGGUCUUGCUGUCACUUAUAGAUGGAUCCGCGCUGCAUUAGCUAGUUGGUAAGGUAACGGCUUACCAAGGCAACGAUGCAUAGCCGACCUGAGAGGGUGAUCGGCCACACUGGAACUGAGACACGGUCCAGACUCCUACGGGAGGCAGCGGUAGGGAAUCUUCCGCAAUGGGCGAAAGCCUGACGGAGCAACGCCGCGUGAGUGAUGAAGGUCUUCGGACCGUAAAACUCUGUUAUUAGGGAAGAACAUAUGUGUAAGUAACUGUGCACAUCUUGACGGUACCUAAUCAGAAAGCCACGGCUAACUACGUG